UCAUGCCAUAAACACAACACGAGAGGGAGAGAGGUGCAAAAUUAUGUGUUUGAAAGAUGUAACAGGUUCGCCAAUCUCAAUAGUCAAAGGAGAGCAUAAUUCAAGAUAAGUCGAGCCACAGGAAUUAGCUGAUUGGCUGAUUGCACCACAAGAAAAUGCACAAGCCCUUCAUUAACGACUAUCCUGAGCAGUGACGUAAAAGGCAGCAGAAAGGGAGAAAUAUACAUUUCAUGCUUUCAAGAGUGCUCCAAAAGAAAAUCCAGCACUGGUGUACGUGAAGAUGCGUGUGUACCAAACUGAACUUUGCCCAUUGCCAUUCAGAGCUUGUGUAUGCCAUCCUGGCAGUGCAGCUGUCUAUGUCUGUUUGAAUACACACCCUUUCUGUGGAUGAAACGGACUGG